GCGCUGAUAGUUUAGUGGAUAAAACUUUUGCCUUCUAAGCAAAAAAUCGCAGGUUCAAAUCCUGCUUAGCGUU
rnacentral:tRNA from 1 species